rnacentral:lncRNA from 1 species
CAAAAUACUGAAAUUUAUUAAUUUAAUCAUGUUCAUCCAGAUAAUUUUUUUAAUCUAUUAAAGAGUAUAAUGUAAUAAGAAUAAAGACUAAUGUAACCCUCUGUUUGCUAUACAUUUGGUAGAACUAGUGACAUUUUUUGGCCCCAUCAUCACAAUGUAUACAGUUUAAAUUUUAGUUCAUUGACAUACCCAAUAAUAAACCAAAUGUUUUUAUGAACAUUUUAAGUUUUAAACUAAAUCUAUUUUUCAGGUAUUCCCGCAUAGCACCAUAUGUGUAUAUUAAGUAUGGCAUACAUGAAUGAAUUGGGACCUUCGUUAUCAACGCAUUGUGUUCAAAGAAGACUUAAUGAAUCCAGCAGUUCAAAAACAUGUUUUGCAGUGAGACGAAUGGUGGCAAAUGAUGGCUUUGUGGCAGUUAGUGAAAAACUGUGGCAUUUUACACUGAUGGUGGCUAACAUUUACAGAAAAUUUCUCAACCAAUAGUGACAUUCAGUUGAAAGUAAUAGCAUAUCUUACACUGACUAUACAUCAGAAGAUUGUUGAAAAA